CAGGACAAAACUUAAUGAUGUUUUUUCUACCACAGGAUUACUGAGAUUUCGUGUGAAGAAAACUGUGGUUACAGGCUAUAUGUUGAUGAUGAAAUUACACUGUGUUGUUGAGAAAAUGUUGGAGAAAAUAUGAAUGUUACAGGGAAGAAGUAAAUACAGUGUGAUGAGACCAGUGUUAACUUUAUGACCUUUUACAGCACCUCUGGAAUCUGGAUGGCCGACACCUGACAACCAGGUUGAACCGUGUGUUUGUUUUUCUUUAAGAGUGCUUGUAAAGGAUUCAGCACAGACAGACAUGUGACAAUUGAACAGAUGUGCAGUGGUUACAGAAUAGUUACAUGGGGUUCAUUAUCUGACCACUAUUGGGCUCAUGGUGAGUGACAAACUUAAGGAAAGUCACUGAUUACAAUGUGGAAUGACGUUGAGAUGUUAAAUGAUUUGGAACAAAUUAUGGAAAAAAGCAGGAGCUUAAUGAGUUUAGAAUAAACCUGCAAUGAUACUUGUCUCUGUGAUGCUGAAUACUUUAUUACACUUAUGAGCUGCAGUUGGUUGCAAAUGUGAAGUUGUUUUAACUUUAAGACUUCGUCUUCUAGGAUACAGGCUGGAGCUGGGAGUUAAACAAGCUAAACAUUUAAUUGCUGACUAAUGUGUUUUUACACAGGAUUACAGGUUGAAGUGAAGCUGCUCCAAGGACAAACCCUGGAGAUUGUUUUAGGGAGACUGUGCAACAUUCUUGUACAUGUCUCAUUGGGGAGUUGACACAUGGCAGAAGCCAUGUGGCGAGAGGAGUGUCAUUUUUCUAAUGUGUAGAUGUCGUGAGGUGCCAUGACAAGAAGGAGUGGCUGAGGGGAUCGUCCACAAGAUGGAAGCUGAGGCCUGGAGAGAGUCUUCAGGAGGAUCAGAGAUCACCUUCAGCACAGCAGACAUCGCGCAGAGAGCUGUGCUACUGGGCUUCCAGGAGAUCGUCAUGAGGAGACUCUGCACAGCAAAAUCUUAAAUAAGAUGAAAGACUUUCGACAUUGACGUUGAGGAAGACAACUAAGGUGUACGACGUGCUCUGCCUUUAAAAUCUUCAGCAACGUUGGAUCAUGAGAACCUGAGGGAGCGUGCCAAGCUCCAAAAAGUGACAGCGCAGAGGAGGUCCAGCGAUGGACUUGUGGUUCUGUGAACAGCACAAAUGCCAGGACUUUCUGCAAAGUUUGGAUGCAUUCACCGGAGCGAACGGAUGACUGAAAAAAACAAAAACCACUGUCUGACAAGACUGCAGCUUUGCGUUUCUGCCACAGCUCUCAUUUACGUUUCAGCAUGGGAGACUUGACUGAAUUCCUGAAACAAAGAGAAGUCUCUGAGGAAAUUAUACAGACCUUGGAGAAUGAGAAGAUUGAUGCCAGUGUCAUAAGUCUAAUGACAGAUGAGGAGCUGAAGACUUAUUUGCCAUCAUAUGGUGAUCGUCUAGCAGUAUUUGGAUUUUGCAGACGGAGGGGCAGCAGCCGCAAGUCAGCGCUUUUUGAACGGCUGAAAUCCAAAGCGUCCAAAAGAAAAUUAUCUGAAGAGGAUGGCAGUAGCACACGGCAAGAAGAACAUUCCCAAACAACCCAUAAAAGAAAUGCUCUGAAGAGAAAUAGAAAAAUAGAAAUAGGAUGGAUGCAUUAUGAUGAAGACACUGAGGUUUUCAAGCAGGUUAGAGCUAGACGAGGAGGAGGAACAAGAAAAAUAGACAUUUGCAAGGAUGCCAAGAAAAGGGACAUAUUACAGGUUGCAACAGGCCUGUUCUUUCCAGAUGGAGGAAACAUUCAGGGGCCCUUAACAGAUUUUGACUGUGAUCUGAAGGAUUAUCAAGAGAUGAUAGUCGAUGAUGCAUUGACAGUAGGAGAACUUUAUCAUGUCACAAAACUAAAUAUCCGCAGGUUCUACCUCACCACAAAGAAAAAACAAAAUGACAGCCUUCAGAGUUCCAGCCCGAGUUUGCAUCCAUCU